AUUGAACGCUGGCGGAAUGCUUUACACAUGCAAGUCGAGCGGCAGCGCGGGGGCAACCCUGGCGGCGAGCGGCGAACGGGUGAGUAAUACAUCGGAACGUGUCCUUAAGUGGGGGAUAGCUCGGCGAAAGCCGGAUUAAUACCGCAUAAGCUCUGAGGAGGAAAGCGGGGGCUCCGUAAGGACCUCGCGCUGUUGGAGCGGCCGAUGUCGGAUUAGCUAGUUGGUGGGGAAAGGCCCACCAAGGCGACGAUCCGUAGCUGGUCUGAGAGGAUGAUCAGCCACACUGGAACUGAGACACGGUCCAGACUCCUACGGGAGGCAGCAGUGGGGAAUUUUGGACAAUGGGGGCAACCCUGAUCCAGCCAUUCCGCGUGAGUGAAGAAGGCCUGG
rnacentral:rRNA from 1 species